UAACGAGCGAGACUCUGGCCUACUAAAUAGUUGGCACAUUGCCACUGUGUGCCCAACUUCUUAGAGGGAUUUUCGGUGUUCAGCCGCACGAAAUUGAGCAAUAACAGGUCUGUGAUGCCCUUAGAUGUCCGGGGCUGCACGCGCGCUACACUGGCAAAAUCAGCGUGCUUGUCCUCCCCCGAAAGAGGUUGGUAAACCGAUGAAAAUUUGCCGUGAUUGGGAUCGGACAUUGCAAUUAUUGUCCGUGAACGAGGAAUCCCUUGUAAGGGCGAGUCAUCAACUCGUCCUGAAUACGUCCCUGCCCUUUGUACACACCGCCCGUCGCUGCCCGGGACUGAGCCAUUUCGAGAAAACCGGGGAUUGUUGGCCUGACGGCUCUCGGGUCGUCUAGCCGAUGAGAACCGGCUUAAUCGCACUGGUUUGAAUCGGGCAAAAGUCGUAACAAGGUAGCUGUAGGUGAACCUGCUGCUGGAUCAUU
rnacentral:rRNA from 1 species